UCCCUUGUGGCUUAGCUGGUGAAGAAUCCGCCUGCAAUGCGGGAGACCUGGGUUCAAGCCCUGGGUUGGGAA
rfam:Ovis aries breed Texel chromosome 3, whole genome shotgun sequence.